rnacentral:rRNA from 1 species
UACGUAGGUGGCAAGCGUUGUCCGGAUUUACUGGGCGUAAAGCGCGCGUAGGCGGAUCUGCAAGUCGGGGGUGAAAUCCCGAGGCUCAACCUCGGAACUGCCUUCGAUACUGCGGGUCUCGAGUCCGGGAGAGGUGAGUGGAAUUCCUAGUGUAGAGGUGAAAUUCGUAGAUAUUAGGAAGAACACCAGUGGCGAAGGCGGCUCACUGGCCCGGUACUGACGCUGAGGCGCGAAAGCGUGGGGAGCAAACAGG